UCGCAGCUACACAUGCAGUCGAGCGGAACGAGUUAUCUGAACCUUCGGGGAACGAUAACGGCGUCGAGCGGCGGACGGGUGAGUAAUGCCUAGGAAAUUGCCUUGAUGUGGGGGAUAACCAUUGGAAACGAUGGCUAAUACCGCAUAAUGCCUACGGGCCAAAGAGGGGGACCUUCGGGCCUCUCGCGUCAAGAUAUGCCUAGGUGGGAUUAGCUAGUUGGUGAGGUAAUGGCUCACCAAGGCGACGAUCCCUAGCUGGUCUGAGAGGAUGAUCAGCCACACUGGAACUGAGACACGGUCCAGACUCCUACGGGAGGCAGCAGUGGGGAAUAUUGCACAAUGGGCGAAAGCCUGAUGCAGCCAUGCCGCGUGUAUGAAGAAGGCCUUCGGGUUGUAAAGUACUUUCAGUUGUGAGGAAGGGGGUGUCGUUAAUAGCGGCAUCUCUUGACGUUAGCAACAGAAGAAGCACCGGCUAACUCCGUGCCAGCAGCCGCGGUAAUACGGAGGGUGCGAGCGUUAAUCGGAAUUACUGGGCGUAAAGCGCAUGCAGGUGGUUCAUUAAGUCAGAUGUGAAAGCCCGGGGCUACAACCUCGGAACUCCAUUUGAGAACUGGUGAAGCUCUAGAGUACUGUAGAGGGGGGAUAAAAUUCUCAGGUGUAGCGGUGAAAUGCGUAGAGAUAUGAGAGGAUAUCACCAGUGGAGAAGGGCGGCCCCUCUGGACAGAUACUCACACUCAGAUGAGAAAGCGUGGGAGAACACACAGGAUUAGAUACCCUGGGAGUGCCACACCGUAUAACAGAUGUCUACGGGGAGGUUGUCCCCGUGACCCGUCGCUUUCGAGAUAUCACGCGAUAUGUAGACCCCGUGGAGGAGUACGCUCACGCAGUAUAAAACUCAAAAGAAUUGGCGGGGCCGCGCACAAGCGGGGGCACAUGUUGUAUAUUUAGAUACAACGAGAAGAACUUUAUAUUCUCGUCACACACAGAGAACACAGCGGAGACGCAGGUGUGCUUUGGGGAUCUGUGACACAGGUGGCACAUGGCUGUUCUCAUCUCGUGGUGAAAAAUGGGGGUAUAAGUCGCACAGCGAGCGCACCCCAUAUCCGUGUUUCACAGCGAAUAAUGUCGGGAUCCACAGGGAGUCUCGCGGUUAUAACCCGGAAGAAGGGGGGGGCGACCUCAACUCCUCAUGCCCUUUGAGAAUAGGUACACACGCGUUAUACAGUGGCACAUACAGAGGGCUGCAAACUUGAGAGAGUGAGAGAAUCACAAAAAGUGUGUUAUAGUCCGGAUGAGAGUGUACAUCUCGUCCACAAGAUGUGGGAAUCUAUUGUUAUUGUAGCUCAGAAUUAUGCGGAGAAUACUUUCCCGGGCCUUGUACACCCCGCCCCUCACCACAUGAGAGUGGUCACAAAAGAAGUGUAUAGUAUACCCUUGGGGAGGACGCUCACCACUUAGUCAC
rnacentral:rRNA from 1 species